ensembl:lncRNA
AUGGCUGGGCAGAGAGGAGGGCUGGCCCUGCCCCUGCUCUGGCCCCUGCUGCUGCUGCUGCUGCUGAGCCUCACCUGCCUCGCCGUGCUGCACCUGGCUCUGGAGACCACUGCCAUGGGUGUGACAGCAACUGUGUCUCCAGCUCUCCUUACCUCCUCAACACCCAUGGAGAGCUCAACACUGCUGCCUACCACUGACGCCACCACCACAGACACCCUCCUUUCCUCCAGCCCUGAAACAGAAGCCUCCACCCCAGAGGAGUCCAGCACAUCCACAGAGACUGGCAACACCUCACCUCCCACUGUGCUUCCUCCCACCACAACUACAGAAGAUUCAUCUGAAUCUACAGAAGAGUCCUUGUCAACCCUGGCAGAUACCACAGCCAGCCCUGUCAUCAGCACAUCAGACCCCAUGAGCACUCCCUCUUCAAGCUACCCAGACAGGACCGCUCCUGACAUCUUCCCCCCAACUGUGGAGUUGACUCCAGGCACUGAGCCCUCUUCCCCUGCCACCAGCUCAGCCCAGACCUCAGAGGCUACUACCCUCAGCACGCCUACAAAGCUGCCAACACUGCUGCCUGUCUGCCCCUCUGGCUCAUCCAACACCAGUGCAUCUUACCUCUUUCUGUCGCUGCGGCUGACCACCCCUCUGGACCUGAGGAACACCACAGUGCAGGAGCUGAUGUUGUCCAAGCUCCGUGAGGACCUGCAGACAGCGUUCCCGUGUGCUGGCCUGUCACUGGCAUGGCGAGGGAAGAGGAGGACUUGACUGCUGCCUGUUGCCUGGCCUGCUCUCUCCUGGACUGCCAAGCCACCCGCUCCCAGCUCCUCACUCCAUGGUGGUGCAGGCCCCUGGGGAAUCCCACACAACUCCUCUUGAGCCUGGGGCUUCCUGUCCUUCACUCUGUUCCCCCAGUCCCCUCCUUCCCCUUCCCACAGCCUGUCCGAAGAGCCCGUGCCCUCCCACCACCCUGCUCCAGACCUGGUUCCUGUGGUGGGACCCCCUCCAGCCCUGCUGCGGGGCUGGGAGAAGGGGACCCCGCAGGACUGGGCUUUUGCAUCUGGGACUGAUGGGGCAGCCAUCAAAGCCACCCUGGGGACAGAGGGAUGAGAGGAAGGAGACCUGAAGCACCCAGUACUGCUGUUCCCAAGGCUCACCUGCAGUAUUGCUGACAGAAGAGAACACCCAUGACGGGCAGUAAAUAGAAAUGCCAUGUUUUCUGUGUUGAAAUGAUGACUUCUUUUUUCAAUUUUCCAAGUUGCCUUUCCCAAUUUUCAGCUUUGCCAUCGAUUGGAGGUACCGGUGAGGAAAACUGAGUCUCCAGAGCUUUGCGUGGAGAGCCAGGCUCAGUGCUGUCCCCUCCCACCAGGGGCUGCUGCAGACAUUCCCAAGGAUGGCUCGGCACCCCGGCAGACUGGUGGUCUCUGCUUUGGAGCUCUCUGCCCCAUAACACCCCACAGUGCAGGGGCAGCACUGUGGGGCUGUGGAAAUCCCGUGGGCUGUGCUCCUUACCUGUUUUUUCCAGUCCCCAACUAAGGAGAUGGCUGCAACAUCUGUCCCCCUGCAGCAAAGUCAUUUAUUAACUGAUUAAUUAGCCAGAUAAAAUCCAGCUGAAGCAAUUAUUAGCCUUAGCAAGCCACCUCACCUGGAAAUUGAAAACUGAAAUAAUUAGCAAAAUGGCCUUGUUGUGUGUCAGGGGUUGUUUUUGGCUGAUCCCUGCUUCUUACUGGCAGCCCUCACUGCCUCAACACAGGGAGGACUGAGAGGGGGCGUGUGGGGCUGUGGGAUUCCUAACCUGGGGACUUCUCUCAGGCUGUCUGGAUUGUCAGCAGCUGGACAGGAUGGGGAGAGACACUGUGGGAUGACCCAGCUGCCUGCCAGUUCAGAGGGCCUGGGAUGAGGCUGGGCUGGAGGCUGUGCCCAGGCAGCUUGUCAGGAUGCUCCCAUUUGGGUUGCUCCUUGCAUUCCAGGGUGGCCCCUUUGCUCUUUAGGAUGCUGCCUGGCUUUUGUGGGCUUGUUGGACUCAUCGAGACUGAGAGAGGUCCCUUAGCAGCUGGGCAAGGAGCUGACGAGCAGGGCAAAGCCUGUUGGAAGGAGUCCCUGUGCAGGCUGCCUGCUGGGGUGCUGGGAAAGAAAUCCUUGUGGCCUGCCUACGCCUUGGAGCUGGGCCAGGAGUCCUCCCACGUCGCGUCCCACUGGGCUGUUUUCUCCGGCUGUUGAAUCCAUAACUUCAGACCCCAGGACAUGGCUGGGUGCCAAGGCCAGGGUAAUGGAGCCAAACUGCGUCACAAAGGGAGGAAAAGGUCCUGAAGUGCUGGGAUAAAAAGGUGACCAGGGUACUCACUGUUCCCUGCUGGCACAGCCGCCCUCCACCGUUAUUGUGGCUGGGGGACCGUGGGGGGAGGAGAUGCUCUGCUCCCCUCUGUCACCAGGGAGGAGAGGAGCUCCCUUGGAGUGGUGUCACUGCCCAGGCAGUGGUGGCACAGAGCUCUGACAAGCCCCCGACACUGCCCAUACUCUUCCUGUGCCCAUACUCUGCUGUCCUUGAGGUGCCACCUUCACCCCAUGGCUGCUUGCCUGCCCCAAACUGCUGCCCAGACAGACUUGGGAGGCUGGAUCCAAGUCCUGCUGCUUUCCCAGCCCACAAAAGAGUUCUCAGCCUCUUUGUUGUAAUACACUCCAAUCUCUCAGCAUCGUCCAAAGGAAUAAAUCUUGUGCCCAACAUGACUGUCA